UGUGGACAAGGAAGCUUUCCGGUAACUAAACUAAUCUUCCCCUUUUCUAUCCUUCCACAGACUGGUAUUCUCUGCUGGAUUUCAUCCUCCUGCUCUCUUCCACUAAAGUCAUGUUUACUGUGAAUGCUGUAUAUGUAACCUGACUCUGGAGGUCACAUCACUGUGAGCAGGGUGUAACCUUUGCUAACCAGUCAGCUGUGAGGCUGAAGCCAUUAAUUAGCUGUACAAAGUGAUGAAACUGUCAAAUGUAAGAGAUGAAAACAUUCUUAUCAGAGUCUUAAUUAUAAGAAAGAGUCCAACAGUAGCUGUAAGUGCAGAUAACACACCAGUGCUGCAGCCAUGUUGUGUCCUCUAUGCUGAUUACCUUUCUAAUGAGGACCAAUUAGGAAAGAAAUGGCCGUACAGUGAAACCUCCGUCUUCAUAUAAACUAAUCACGACUCGCUCCUUUAUCGAAGAGCUUACAUUGACUUAGUUCAGUCACAAAGACAACAGACAGAGAAGAAGAACAGUGUGAGAAGGUCUUCCUCACAUCAGUCACUGAUACAUGCGAGUGGCACUGAGGACGAUGCCGAUGAUUCUGUAAUUAUUAUCCUGUUAUUUGAUCCAGGAGGGCCCUUCAGAUAAAGAGGGCAGAGGGGAAUCUACUCGAGCUGGUGGAUCCGCUGUACGCUGCUCCGCGGGUCCCUGAGAUGAGGCAUGAAGUGCAGCAUAAUGUAGAGACGUGAAGUGGAGACGCUAACGCAACAAACGCUCGUCGUGAGCCUCUGACAUUGCAGAAAUAAUUGGCACAUUGUGAAGGGCAGAUAUUUAUGGCUGUUUAGCAGCAGCCUGUCAGACGGGCGACACUGUGUGUUGGAGGCGUCUCAGAACAGUGACGGCUCAGGUUUCCCCAAACAAAGACGCGCUCGACUACAUUUAGGAGAAAAACAAUUCACUUUAAUGCCGCGCCUGUGAAGAGAAGGUCUCGACCUUCAAGCUCCGCUGGUGAAUUCAUCUGAAGAGUAUCAUUCAUGCCCCGCUCAUGAAAUCAUGUUUUCAGUUCAUCUCCUGGUUAAUACCUUAUUCAGCCCUCUGACAACAGGCUUCGUUAGUUAUUCAGCGCUCUUACUCCAGCGUCUGAAUGAGAAGCCCGGGGCAGGUCAUAAACAAAAUGCUUUCACAGAAUGAGAUCAUUACUUCUCCAGAAAGUCAGAUUUCUAAAACAUUUCCAAGUAUAAUCACGACUUGUCAUUUGAAUUUGUGUCUGUUUCAAAUCAGUGGGAUUAGAUCAAGAGGAGUGUGGCGCCGCGACGUGCCCACCAGCAUCUCAACUUCUGUGCACAACUCCUGCUUCAAAGAGUUCUCCAUUUUGCUACUUAAAGGCAAACGCCACCCAUUUUAAUAAUGUGCAUAUCUUUGCCGUGAGCCUGAAGACAAUUAAAUCAGCACUUGUGAACAUCUAAUGCUUAUUCCAAGAGCUGGAAAAACCAGGAGGACGGAGGGAACGUUCCAAACUGUGACAGAGGGAAGUCGUUAAAGCUUUUUUUAGACAUCAUAUCUUCAUUGUGUCUUGUCGUGUGAUGAUUAUAUGCAAAUGGUUUCAUGAUCCUUUUCAUGAUGCUGGGUUCAAGUCAAGUUAUAGCACAUUUAAAACAGCUUGAGUUGAACAAAGUGCUUUCAAACGAAGGCAAAAGAAGAUCAACACAGCAGACAGUAAGAAGGAACUGCGGUCUGACAGGAACCCUGAGCUCUGAGUUUCACUGCAGUCCUCCAGUUCUGAAGAAAAGAUCAGUCCUGCAUCGUGAACGUGAGCUGUGCUGAGAACCUCCACACACAUGAUGUCGUCACACUGUGCAAUCAGUAGUCACUUCAGAGUGACACGCGAAAGCAAAAAAGUAGUUCUCAGAGAUUUGUCUUCAGACGCUAAAACUUGUACAGUUUGUUCGUCAUGAUUUGAUCCGGAGAUGUUGGUUCUGUCGUGGUGAAGGUCAGAGUUCCAUUAGCCGCAUUUCUCCCAUCUCAUUCUGUCCAUGUCGCGUCUCCCUGAAGCCAGGAUGUCAAAACAGAUGCUGAUCCAUAGACGGGUCUUAACUGGGCCAAUGACUUUAGAGAGCUUCUCCGGCCAGAACAUGGUGCCAUCUGGAGCUAAUCUGGUUUCACACUCUAGUUGUACUCCAGCCUGUGGGCCCGAGCGAGGAGUCUGACAUGAAUGUGAUUAAUGUGAAGCUGCACACAUGUUCUAAAUUCAUGAUUUUUUGACAACAUUUCUCACAGUCGUGCUCAAAAACUGUAACAAACGGCUGAAAUGAAAACACAGGUGAAUAUCUGCCACCGCUCAGUGUUGAGGCACGACACUGAAGACGUCGUUCUGGACUGAAAAAGAAAAACACUUGAGAGUAUGAAGAUGUUCAGCGCUGUGUGAUCGUUGUGCUGCUGCCACUGAAAACCUGAGUGCUGAAUGAAUUAGACGAGCAGAUUCACGAGUGUGACCUCGAGUGGAAGCAGUCUGACUCAUUAUGUUUCACUGCUCAGGUUGUUCUGACGAAGAAGAUGUUGCAUAGCGAGAAACAUUCAUGUGACAUCCAUUAAAAUCCUCUUGUAACGCUGGUUGAAAACAUGCGAGCAGAUGAACUUUGUGUCUCUGUGCUCGUCUCUGUUCGCGUUGCGUCUCAUCUGUAUUUAUGUGUUUCUGGUCUUUGACACGUCGGCUUCUGUUUGUCUGGCUGACAGAAACGACUCUCAUGUUUUUGUGUUUGAUGAAUGUCGGUGUGAAGAUCUCGAGGUUUUCAUGUGUGACACAUUCUAGUCUAAAAGAUUUGAAACUGUUAAAAUAAGUGUAUAGGAAAGUUUAGAACAAUUUUUGCAUUAAUUAUUACAUUUUGUAAAAAGUUUUUCUAAGUCUGUCUGGGUUAAACAGAUGACUUCAGUGAGUGUCGACCGGGCUGCUUCUCACAGCAGGUGUGUGCACAUUCAACAACCUCAGCUGAAUGAACAGCUCUGCAUUAAUUGCAGGAUAAUCUGUUUACACUUAACUAAAUGUAUAAAGUGUCCGCUGGUGUUAUAUUUUUAAUAUUUGCUGUAACAGCUGCUUGUUACAUAUAUUUAUAUCCUCUGACAGGGAAAUAAUCCGUCAGGUAAAAACAGCUUCUGUGUGCAAAGUCGCUUCUGCUGGAUGAAGUUUGCUGUGUUAACACUGAGCAACACACACACACACACACACACACACACACACACACACACACACACACACACACACACACACAGCUCAGCCUGCUCGCUGCUCUGCUCUGGUUUAAUGUAUCGACGGCAGCUGGCAGCUCUCCGAGAGAAUAUCACCCAGCCUCCCCCUUAUUUUAGAGCCCAAUAAGAAUAUCUGUCCAUCUCCGGUGGCUAAUCGAAUGCCAAGAUAAUGCAAAUGACAGGAGAGGGUCAGAACUCCAACCUGCAGCCUUCUCGCUGACUUAAUGAGUUUUAUCUUUGUUUGUUUCUCCGGCUGACACGAGCAGCAGCUCAGCCACCAACACCGCUCUGCUUCUCUUCAGAUUCAGUGUGUAGAAAAUCUUUAUCUGACCCUGUGAUUAAAUAUUUACCUCACGAUUAUUGAUAAGUGUGUAACUGUUUCACACACUGAAGAAAAGUCAAAGUUGUUUGAACACUGGAGAGUUCAGACUCUGAGUGGACAUGAUUUAAAGAUAGUAUAACAUCUGCUUUCUUUGUCAGACGUCUCACUGCCGCCAUUUUGAGACCAGAAUUAAUGUGUAUGUGCAGGAUUUUUCUUAAAUGCAGCUAAACUCUCUACAAAUAUGUGAUGAAGUCAUUGACAGCAGGUGAAUCUGACUUCCUGUUGUCAGGAACAGGAAGCAGCAGAUCAUAUUCAUCAUCUGACAACGUUCAAAAGACAUGAAACUUGUUUUAUGAAGUCUUGAUUGUUAACAUUCUCAUGAGGGAAGUCAGUUUUGAUUCACUUUGCUUUUGAAGAAGCUGACGGCCAUUAACCGUUAACUAACUAACUGGUUAAUUAUAGAGGGGAAAAAAAUCUAAAAAUGAACAAAAUAUAACAAGCGUUGCCUUUAAUCUGCUGCUCAGACUCCUGUAGUGAAGCUGUAACACAGUGUGUCUGUGUGUAAUUAACCAAUAGAACAACAUUCUCCACGGUUAAUACUUUGACUCGACUCUUUCUGACUAAUAAACUAAUUAAACUCGUAAAGCAGGACAGUCUCACAUCCUUCUUUGUUUGUCCUGUGAUGUGAAUAAGACAGAAACAUUUCUGCCUCUGGCUUAAAGAGUCACUGAGUUCAUCCUGUGUGAUCGUUCUCAAACUGGAGGUAAACAAAGUGAAACUUCCUGAGAACAGAUCACAGGUACUCACACUGUGACUGAUGUCAGAUCCAACACCAAUUAACAGGAUAGUUUCUUUCAGCUGCUGAAGAGAGCUGAUAAUACAGCUUUUCUGUCUGAUACGUAGGAUAACAAAGAAACAGGACACGACUAACAGAUCUCCACUAAAUCAACUGUGAUCAAAGCUGCAUCACUACAAAAUGAUAUUGAUUGUUUUCAUCAAUAUCAAAGGUUGACAGUCACCACGGCAACGUGAUGCACAGAGACGAACUGCAGUGACACAAAGAAACGAUGGCUGACAUGAACAUGAUGUGACGAUGAAGUAAACAGGCCAUUAAAGGUCUCAUAUUAUGACACGUUUUCUCUGCUCUCCACCUGUCUGAGCAUCGUCUCUCUGAGAGGGCGAGCAGCAGGACAGUCGGCCUGGAGGAUUUCAUGUGACUGUGAAGCCCACUGAGGCAACGUGAUGGCCGUGAGAAGAUGAACCUGCAUGAACCUGCAUGAACCUGCACACCUGCCGCUCUCUGCUGGCGCCGGCCUACGUGGAGAGUUUGUCGAGAAGCUCAACUAAUAAAACUAAAAAACGAAACAAAAAGAUGAUUUGAUUUAAUAUCCGCCCACAUAUUGAGUCAGCUAUAACAAUUUAGGUGUUAUUGCAUAUAAGAGUGCUUGAAAACUAGUUAAGAAAGUGAAGCAGAGAAGAUGAAAAUCAUCUGCAGCUGAAAAUAUUCCAACAAACACAAGUGAGAAAAUAUCAAGCUGCAAUUUUAGAAAUCAGAAAAUUGUAAUGUAAUGAUUGUAAUGAUUAAUUAUUCAAUACAAUCAGCCGAGAUUAUUUUUAUUGACAGUUUUGCUAAAGUUCAGACAUAAUCAGAAGAUUCAUUUACUAUAAAUGUAAAACAUGGUGAAGGAUCAGCAGCUUUGUGUCACAUUUAUCUUUAUAAUGUCUGAAUUUCUGACAUUUUAAAGGUCAAAACAUUUGGUUUACUUUACAAUCACUGGCAGCUUAAUCAAUAAUCAAAAAGAUUUACUGGCAGUUGUUAUGAGUAGAGUAACACAAGCCUCAUCCUUCAGACUUUUCAGGGACAUGUGGCAACAUUUCUAAGUAAUUAUUCAGUUAUACUGUGAGUUAAAACUCCUCAACUGUAGAAAUUCCUCUAAGAAACAGUUGUGAGCUGAGUGACGUGUCAGGAUGUGUUUCAGGAGCAGAGGUGACGUCUCUGCAGCCUUUAUCAGCCUGAGGUUGACAGAGAAGAAGAUGUAUAGUCAACUUCUCACUUUAUAAUGUGGCCACGUCUGGCUGUCUGCUGACAUCCCUUUGAACUGUUGUCCUGUGGGGCUUCUCACUCUAAAAAUGUCUGCAGUAUCCAACUCCAAGUAGCAUUUUUGCCGGCAGUGGAGCUUCAAAAGCUUGAAAGCACACAAGUGACUCCUGACCUCGCCAGGCAUGAUCCUCUGAUGCAUGACAGGCUGGGUGGAGGAAGUGUCGCACCGCGGAGAGGACAUCGAAACGAGUCGGGUCCAGCGGAGCUGUGGGACAGUUACGCCAGUCACGUGACUCGACUGCAGAGUAGCUCAGUGUGCUGUUUGAGAAAUCUAAUUACCCCACAGGAAGAUACAACAAACUACCAACUGGUCUUGAACCCCAAAGACAGAUUCUGACAUUUGUGAGAAGGUCAAAGUUAAUUACCGUGUGAGACUCUGUUCACAUGGAGGGUACAAGCAAGACUGCUAUGCUUCUAAAUUUGAAUAAAAAGGUUACUCGUG